rfam:Triticum aestivum genome assembly, contig: Triticum_aestivum_CS42_TGACv1_scaffold_093154_2AL
CUAGUACUCCCUCCAUUCCGAAUUACUUGUCGCAGGUAUGGAUGUAUCUAGAUAUAUUUUAGUUUUAGAUACAUCCAUUUCUGCGACGAGUAAUUUGUUGGAACGGAGGGAGUACGUG